rnacentral:rRNA from 1 species
AUUGAACGCUGGCGGCAUGCCUUACACAUGCAAGUCGAACGGUAACAGGUUAAGCUGACGAGUGGCGAACGGGUGAGUAAUAUAUCGGAACGUGCCCAGUCGUGGGGGAUAACGUAGCGAAAGCUACGCUAAUACCGCAUACGAUCUACGGAUGAAAGCGGGGGAUCGCAACACCUCGCGCCAUUGGAGCGGCCGACAUCAGAUUAGGUUGUUGGUGAGGUAAAAGCUCGCCAAGCCUGCGAUCUGUAGCUGGUCUGAGAGGACGACCAGCCACACUGGAACUGAGACACGGUCCAGACUCCUACGGGAGGCAGCAGUGGGGAAUUUUGGACAAUGGACGCAAGUCUGAUCCAGCAAUGCCGCGUGCAGGACGAAGGCCUUCGGGUUGUAAACUGCUUUUGUACGGAACGAAACGGUGAGCUCUAAUACAGUUUGCUAAUGACGGUACCAUAAGAAUAAGCACCGGCUAACUACGUGCCAGCAGCCGCCGCAG